AUCCGUGUGUGUGUGUGUGUGUGUGUGAAUAUCAAAUAAUAACAAAAAUCUGGAAUAGUCUGCCGUUUUCCUCCUCCCAUACCUCCUCCUCCUCCUCCUUCUCCUCUUCCUCCUCCUCAAGGCCUUGAUAUACCUUUGAUGAGCUCUACUUUCUCCUUUAUUCACGUCAUCAGAAACUAGUAAGAAUCGGCUUGUGUUUAUAAUUAGGUCUACGCAUUGACGUAAGCAAAGAAAAAACAGAAACAAAAGCAAAAAUAAAAAACGUGUGUUACCUGUAUUCAUUUACCUGCGCGACCACUUUUAUUUUCCCUUCUUGCAGGUGUGUCAGUGUGCUAGGCCAGGGUUAAGUCAGGUGAGGUGAGGUGAGGCGAGGGUUACGCUAGGCUGGGUUAGUUAGGUUAGGUUAGGUUAGGUUAGGUUAGAUUAUCUUCAAUAUUUUUUUUCCUUGCAGGUGUGUCAAUGUUAGGCCAGGGUUAAAUCAGGUGAGGUGAGGUGAGGUGAGGGUUACGCUAGCCUGGGUUAGUUAGGUUAGGUUAGGUUAGGUUAUCUUUAAGUUUUUUUUCUUCCAAGAGUCAUUGUUACGGAGAUGAACACCGAGGCAACGCGCACUUAUGUCGUAUGCCCUCCCAAUUUAAUUUUACCGUCAUGUGAUUGGAUGUCAUGUACCUUAUCACUUUCUUUUUUUUAUAUAUAAAUUUUAAGGUUUGAGAAGUUUUUGAACCGAUAUGUUACUUUCUUAUCUUUCUAUAUAACUGUAUUUUGUCCUUCUUUCCUUCCAUUCUUUCUGUCUUUUGUAUAUAUUUGUCAUCCUUCUCUCUCUCUCUCUCUCUCUCUCUCUCUCUCUCUCUCUCUCUCUCUCUCUCUCUCUCUCUCUCUCUCUCUCUCUCUCUCUCUCUCUCUCUCUCUCUCUCUCUCUCUCUCUCUCUCUCUCUCUCUCUCUCUCUCUCUCAAUCUAUUUUAACAUCUAUCUGUAUUCCUUUCUACCCGUCUUUCUUUUCCUUUCUUCCUUCCUUCCUUCCCUCCCUUCCUUCCUUUCUGUCUUUGUUAUCCUUCUUUCCUUCCAUCCCUCCUUCCUUCCAG